GAUGAACGCUGGCGGCGUGCUUAACACAUGCAAGUCGAACGGAAAGGCUCCUGCUUGCAGGGGUACUCGAGUGGCGAACGGGUGAGUAACACGUGGGUGAUCUGCCCUGCACUUCGGGAUAAGCCUGGGAAACUGGGUCUAAUACCGGAUAGGACGAUGGUUUGGAUGCCAUUGUGGAAAGUUUUUCGGUGUGGGAUGAGCUCGCGGCCUAUCAGCUUGUUGGUGGGGUAAUGGCCUACCAAGGCGUCGACGGGUAGCCGGCCUGAGAGGGUGUACGGCCACAUUGGGACUGAGAUACGGCCCAGACUCCUACGGGAGGCAGCAGUGGGGAAUAUUGCACAAUGGGCGCAAGCCUGAUGCAGCGACGCCGCGUGGGGGAUGACGGCCUUCGGUUGUAAACUCCUUUCGCUAGGGACGAAGCGCAAGUGACGGUACCUGGAGAAGAAGCACCGGCUAACUACGUG
rnacentral:rRNA from 1 species